AUUUGUUUCUGAUAAAUUGUAUUCAAACAAAAGUACAAUUAGUGCUUUUUAGAGAAUCCAGUUCCAGCGGAAGCCGAAGAUUAAGUAAGGUGCGGUAUAAAGACCAAUCAAUUUCCUACAACAGACAAUAGAGGGCUCUGACCUGACCAUGGUCAAUGAGACUAUUGUUCUGAUUCUAUAGAGUCUAACCUUGAAAAGAAAAGACUCGUUGUUUUUAAGCCUGGUCCAGGUGUGGGAGCUAUACUUGAUAUACAAGUCGACUCGUGAACUAUGGAGUACUCCAAAUGUUUUACCAAACAGAAGAAGAACAAUGGGCAAACACCAAUCCUGAGAAGUGGUAAAAUCUACAAAACAUUGAAAGGUAUAAAAUGUUUGGUAAGUCAGAAUACAUUAGCAUAAAUAUUGGAGCUCACAGAGUCAUUUGCUG
rnacentral:misc_RNA from 1 species